GCACUCAACGCUCAUUUGACCGCUUAGCGGUAGCUCCUAUAAUCGUAGGGCGCUCAACGGUGGAAUCUGGCGCUUAACACUGGCCCUCAGAAUCGUUGGACGCUCAGCGUCGCUGCUCAAGCGAGAAACAGUGCCUUCUUCCUCGAAGCUGGCGCUCAGAGUUGGAAUUGGCGCUGGGCGGUGGACUUCACUCUUCUUUUGCUUCUUUUCUCAUCCUUUCUUGAGUCUAAGUCCUCCC
rnacentral:lncRNA from 1 species